ensembl:lncRNA LINC00839 long intergenic non-protein coding RNA 839
UUUUGAUUCUGAUACUGGUCACUUGUGUUCUUUCAUCUUUUUUCCUUAAUCAGUUUUGCCUGCACUCUCCCUGGAUGCUGGAGGCUGGAGGCAGUGACGCAGCAACAGCGCGAGGCGACUUUGGAGCGGCCUCAUAUAGCGACCUCGCCUUCCGCUGCGCGUCCUCCCAGAGCCCAAGAAGCCCGGAACCUGUGGCAUCCAUCUCUGAAAGGAGAAGACGGCAACCCAGCCGAGGCACUACUGGGUUGGGGUCUCCACGACCGAGCUGGUCUCAUCAAGUGGCGUCCAACAAGGGGCUCAAACCCGGGUUGAGGGGUUGCUGGAGCGACGGAGAACGUGGAACUACACUGGAGGACACCAGAGUACUCUUAAGCAAUCCCUUGCACUGGCCGUCUACAUGGCCAAUUCAACCCACUCGAUUUAACACAGUUGAAGUUGGUAAAGCCUCUGAAGUAUAUCAAAGCAGUGAUAUUUUGCAUCAUGAAGGACUCGAUGGACAAUCUGGGACUAUUCAACCAAUUGUAACUUCUGUACCUGUAAAUUUAUGGGGAAGAGAUUUAUUACAGCAAUGGGGAGCACAAAUGUUAAUUCCAGAACAAUUAUAUAGCUCUCAGAGUCAGCAUAUGAUGCAAGAGAUGGUGUAUGUGCCUGGCAUGGGAUUAAGAAAAAAUUUACAAGGGUUAAAGAAACCCCUUCAAGUGAAAGGACAGAAUUCUCAUCAGAGUUAGGAUAUCAUUUUUGAUGGAGGCCAUUGUUAAGCCUCCAGAACCUAUGCCUUUAAAAUGGUUAACAGAUAAGCCAGCUUGGUUAGAAAAAUGGCCUCUGAGUAAAGAAAAACUGGAGGCUUUAGAGGACUUAGUUACUGAACAAUUAGAAAAAGGACACAUAGUUCCAACAUUUUCCCCCUGGAAUUCUCCAGUCCUUGUUAUUAAGAAAAAAUCACAUAAAUGGAGAAUGUUGGCAGAUCUUAGAGCCGUUAAUUCAGUUAUACAACCUACUGGGGCAUUGCAGCCCAGGUUGCCUUCUCCUGCUAUGAUUCCAAAAAAUUGGCCUUUAAUAGUCAUAGAUUUAAAAGACUGUUUCAUUACUAACUCCUUAGCUGAGCAAGACUGUGAAUGGUUUGCAUUUAUAAUUCCUGCAGUAAACAACACGCAGCCUGCUAAGCAUUUUCACUGGAAAGUGUUGCCACAAGGCAUGUUAAACAGUCCAACAAUUUGUCAGACUUAUGUAGGACAAGCAAUUGAACUUACUCAUAAAAGAUUUGUCACAGUGUUAAAUUAUUCAUUAUAUGGACAAUAUUCUUUGUGCUGCCCCCACUCGGGAAAUAUUACUCCAAUGUUAUGAUCACUUGCAAAACCCGAUUUCUCCUGCCAGUUUAAUUGUAGCUCCUGACAAAAUUCAGACUACUACUCCUUACUUCUACUUAGGGACCUUAGUAAAUGACACUACCAUUGUGCCACAGAAAGUAACCAUACGUAGGCCUCAAUUGAAAACUUUGAGUGACUUUCAAAAAUUACUAGGGGACAUUAAUUGGACACGACCUGCUCUAGGCAUUCCUAUCUAUGCCAUGAGUAAUCUAUUUUCUAUCCUUACAGGAAAUCCUAGUCUCACUAGCCCUCAGCAAUUAACAACAGAGACUGAGGCAGAGAUACAGCUGAUUGAGAAGCAAGUGCAUAAGGCUCAAAUAAAUAGAAUAGAUCCAGAAAAGACUUUAGACUUAUUGAUUUUUCCAACUCAGCAUUCACCUACUGGUGGUGUUGUCCAAGAGCAGGACUUGGUAGAAUGGCUUUUUCUUCCACAUAGUAAUUCAUGGACUCUAACUCCUUAUUUAGAUCAAAUUGCUACUCUGAUAGGAAAUGGGAGAACUCAAAUUGUUAAAUUGCAUGGAUAUGACCCUGGAAAAAUUAUUGUCCCUCUUACAAAGGCACAAAUACAACAGGCCUUUAUAAAUACUCUUAAUUGGCAAACCCAUUUAGCUGAUUUCAUGGGUGUUCUUCAUAAUCACUUUCCGAAAACAAAGUUAUUUCAAUUUUUGAAAUUAACUAAUUGGAUUCUCCCUAGAAUAACUAAAUUUAAACCAAUUGAAUGUUCUGAAAAUGUUUUUACAGGUAGGUCUAGUAAUGGUAAAGCUUCUUAUUCCAGAUCAAAAAAUAAAGUUUUCCAGACAUCCUAUACUUCAGCUCAAAAA